CAAGGGUUUUCAGAUAGAACGUCAGUUUCCUCCGGAAUUCAUUCCAGUCACCGUCCUUGAUAUGGAUUGGAUGUCGCUAUAAAGAAACCAAGAAGGUGGCAUUAGAAAUCAAGAAGAAAAUCACAGAGACCCCAGCAUGGAAAUGGGUGCAGCAUGUGAGCUGUGAGUGCCCCAAACACAGAUGGCCCAGGAACUCAGCAAAGGCUUCCACUUCUUGUUUGACCCAAGAAAUGUCAUGCAAAGGAACUCCUGCAAACCUUGCCCAUCUCCACACCUACACCCCAGGGAAGCUGCCACCUGGGCUGGGAUGCCCACUGCCCCAGGCUGAGCAAGGGCACUUCUUUGGGGAGCUAAAAUCCUUCAGCCCCUGGACCAUCACCCUCUUUUCUCAGAGAAAGCCCUCCUCCCAGGCCUGCUCUUUCAUCAGUACUCAGCUCAAGAAGAUGCCAGAGGUCUUCUCCUUUGCAGAGCCUGGAUCCACUUUCUCAAAUCCCCAGGCACCCAGAGGCAAGUAGGGCAGAGACAUCUUUGCUGAAGGCCCUGUGAAGCCCAAGAGCACAAGAGAUUUGCCCUGGCCUGAGGGGGCUCCCAGUACAAAGGACUUUUAGCUUUAAAAAACCAGGAUGGGUCCAGGCAAACCUCACUGUAGUGAGGAUCUCUAUGCUGUCCCUGAUUGGUGAGUCUCUCGUCUAUACAUAGAACCUUACAUUUGGCUUCAUUUGUAGGAGUUUAGUUUGAAACAUUUACUUUACUAUUGAGCACUAACGUUUUCCAAGCAUUUUCUUGCAUACUGGAUCUCGCAGGUUUGCGAUGGACUUUUUCAACUCUGAAAACUUUCUGAUUUAUCCACUGAGUCACAUUCUUGUCACUCUACUGAACAUGUACAGUAUUCCAUGAGGCUGGGAUGAGGUUUUAGCUGCUAUUGAAAAGCCCAUGGCCUGGAAUGACCACACUUCAUUUCUGCAGAGAUGCCUGUGCCAACAGGGCCAAGAGGUCACUGACAGCAGGUAGGAGAUGGAUUUGGAGUUCCUGGGUCUCUCUCUGGUCUUGGUAAUUGUAACUGUACUGGCCUCUCCAACGGUUGUUUUCUUAACUGAAAUUGCCGUAGUUUUUCACUUUGAAACAUCUAGGCUGUAUUCACACACCAAUGUUUAUAGUGGCUGUCUUAUCCCGUUAGGGCUGCUAUAAUAAAAUACCAUACUGAGUGGCUAUUCAGAACAGAAAUUUAUUUCUCACAGUUCUGGAGGAUGGAAGCUCAAGAUCAAGGAACCAGAAGAUUUGGUGUCCGGUGAGGACCCACUUUCUGGUUCAUAGACAGCCAUCUUCUUGCUAUAACCUCACAUCGAAGAAGGGGUAAUGGAGUUUUCUGAGGUGUCUAUUAUAAAGGCCUAAGCUUAUUCAUGAGGGCUCUGCUCUCAUGACCUGAUCACCUCCUAAAG
rnacentral:lncRNA from 1 species